rnacentral:rRNA from 1 species
CCUACGGGAGGCAGCAGUGAGGAAUAUUGGACAAUGGGCGCAAGCCUGAUCCAGCCAUGCCGCGUGCAGGAUGACGGUCCUAUGGAUUGUAAACUGCUUUUGUACAGGAAGAAACACUGGUUCGUGAACCAGCUUGACGGUACUGUAAGAAUAAGGAUCGGCUAACUCCGUGCCAGCAGCCGCGGUAA